CUCGUAGGUGGUUCGUCGCGUCCGGUGUGAAAGUCCAUCGCUUAACGGUGGAUCCGCGCCGGGUACGGGCGGGCUUGAGUGCGGUAGGGGAGACUGGAAUUCCCGGUGUAACGGUGGAAUGUGUAGAUAUCGGGAAGAACACCAAUGGCGAAGGCAGGUCUCUGGGCCGUCACUGACGCCGAGGAGCGAAAGCGUGGGGAGCGAACA
rnacentral:rRNA from 1 species